GCUGCUUAUCGCGAGCUUUGCGGACUCCGUGCGCCGGAAGCGGGCCACUUGCUGUCGGGAUCCGCGCUUUAGGAAAAGGCUAAAGAUUAGGUUGUAAGAAAAACAGAAGCCAUGUUUCGGAGACCUGUGUUACAGGUAUUUCGUCAGUUUGUAAGACAUGAGUCCGAAGUAGCCAGCAGUUUAGUUCUUGAACGAUCUCUGAAUCGUGUUCAGUUACUUGGGCGAGUAGGUCAGGACCCUGUCAUGAGACAGGUGGAAGGAAAAAACCCAGUCACGAUAUUUUCUCUAGCAACAAAUGAGAUGUGGCGAUCAGGGGACAGUGAAGUAUACCAAAUGGGUGACGUGAGUCAGAAGACGACAUGGCACAGAAUAUCAGUGUUUCGACCAGGCCUUAGAGACGUGGCAUAUCAGUAUGUGAAAAAGGGGGCUCGUAUAUUUGUGGAAGGGAAAGUGGACUAUGGCGAAUACAUGGAUAAAAACAAUGUGAGGCGGCAAGCAACGACAAUCAUAGCUGAUAACAUUAUAUUUCUGAGUGACCAGACAAAAGAAAAGGCAUAGAACGGAGAUUCUUCUUUGAUCAUUGUUUGGAUUUGCAUUAUAUGCUGUGAAGACUAGUGGGAGUAACAGCAAGACAAAUUAUAGCAAAGGAGCAGUGCUUUCUCAGGUGCCAUCCAGAUAAUGGAGUAGUCUUCAGGGUGGAAGCUGGAAGACGCGGAGCCUGUGAUGACAUAGAACUACCAGAGCAUACCUAGACAGGCCACUUCUGAAUUCCUUGGGAGAUACAAAUAAACCUCUUGUGUUUGUGUG